rnacentral:rRNA from 1 species
CCACAUGCCUUCAUCCUUUUUUUACGAGCACCUUUCGUUCUCCUUCGGUGGGGCAACCUGCCGUUGGAACCUAUCAAAACCUUUUUUUGCAUUUAGCAUUACCUGUUCUGAUACAAACAAUCGUUACAACUUUCAACAAUGGAUCUCUUGGCUCUGGCAUCGAUGAAGAACGCAGCGAAAUGCGAUAAGUAGUGUGAAUUGCAGAAUUCAGUGAAUCAUCGAAUCUUUGAACGCACAUUGCGCCCCUUGGUAUUCCAUGGGGCAUGCCUGUUCGAGCGUCAUCUACACCCUCAAGCUCUGCUUGGUGUUGGGCGUCUGUCCCGCCUCUGCGCGCGGACUCGCCCCAAAUUCAUUGGCAGCGGUCCUUGCCUCCUCUCGCGCAGCACAUUGCGCUUCUCGAGGUGCGCGGGCCGCGUCCACGAAGCAACAUUACCGUCUUUGACCUCGGAUCAGGUAGGGAUACCCGCUGAACUUAAGCAU